UGUUGAAUAGGGUAGUGGUUAUCCCGCCGGGCUCAUGACCCGGAGAGCGUUGGUUCGAUCCCAACUUCAGCUA
rnacentral:tRNA from 1 species